AGAUAGAGAAAGUCAGGCUGUGGUUGAU
rnacentral:piRNA from 1 species